rnacentral:lncRNA from 1 species
AGGAAAUUAUUGAAUAGUAACUUUAUCUCCAACCAUCCCAGUUUACAAUUAAAAAAAAUAAAAUAAAACAAAAUGUACAUUUAUCACUUAUACAAGAACUUAUUCUUUAACAAACAAAAAUUAUCUUCAAAAAGCAGAUAAAACUCAACCUGCUUCCCUAUUUCCUAACUAGAUUUCUUUCCAGAUAGCAAUCCCUUGACAUAGUCAAGAAUCGGGGAUGGCCAGAAAUUAUAAGCCGUAGCACAAGCAAGAUAUGCACACGACAGUGCAACGUAUACUUUGAACCAAACCGAUGAGAAAACCGCAAGAUAUGCAAAUACAGAAGUAAUGACUAGUACUAUUGUGCAAUUUACCAAGCAUUUGAACGUUGAAAGAUCGCCUUCUGUUCCUUCAUUAGGAAAAUAACCUUGAGCUAUGAAAUCUGAAAGCAGUUGAUCUUUUUGAUGAAAUGUGUUUAGCAACCACGUGUUGCACUCGUCUUCUGAAACCGGGAUUUCUUCUAGAGAUAUUCGUCUGACAUGAACAUGAACUUCUGAAGGUUCGACGCCAAAAACAUUGUCCAUAAAUGUCGGGCAUCGGUUCUUGUAUGCAAUCGUCACAUCAUACACUGAAAUAAGCAAAAAUGAGGUUUUUUUUUUAUCAUAAAAUAAAAUACAGAAAACUUACAUUUUUUUUUUAUUUUGAGCACACAAAAUACCUGCAUCGAGAGAACCCCUUAGGAUUUCAACACAAGCAUGAAAGCCUCUUGUUUUUGGUAGCAGCACAUUCUUGAGUAUCGGUAAUCCAUUUUCAGCAGCAUAUUUCUGGCUUUUUAUGCACUUUUGUUCUCUGCAUAAAAAAACAGACAUUUAACAUAAAGGGCAACUGGUAGUCGAGUAGAAACGGUAAUUUAAAAAGAAGCUACCAAUUAAAAUGAGUUUAGCAGGUAUUUUUUAGAAUUGUCUCUUAUAAAUAUACGAGUAAAAUGACAUUUUCGUCCCUGAGGUUUGGAAUUGACUGAAGAUUGGAGGUUACUUCUGCUGUUCACAAAAGAUAUAGCAAGUCUCAGUCAUACAUAUAUAGUGAUUAAGAAAACUUGUAGAGGCUAAAACUGCGUAUUUACGUUAAAAAAACAUGAUGACCUGAUAGCGGUUUUCGAAAAAAGAAAAAGCAAUCAGCAAAGGAAUUAAUAUCCGAGAAAGCAUCAAUCUUUAACUUGUUUGUACCAUAUGGAAGUAGCAAGAAAUCUACAAUUUCAUAUUUCACUCAUAGAGGAUUAGUUUUUGAGCAGAAAAAUUCAAUCAGAUUUGUCUCGAUGAAAUAUAUAGCCAAAGUUCACAUACAAAGAUAGUAUCGUAACAAACAGCAUACUGAGCUGAACAAUAAUGUUCAUAUAACUUCUGAAAUAUUACCCUUCAAAAACUACCUGGUAAUCUGGUAUAUGUUUGUUUGUGCUUCUCCCAAGCCCGAGCCUUAACCGAGCAACAGUCACUUACACUCAAACGACGUUCUCAAUUAACAUAGCAUUGAUUUUAAAGAAGCCAAUUAAUUGUAGCCACAAAAUAAGUUGAGGCCAAUUACUACAACCAUGUGCUAAACCAAAUCGGGUAACGACAUCUGGCAAUGCUCUGUAACAAACUAGACCACCAAAAAUGCUUACUUGUUUGGUAGUCACAAUUGGAGUACAUAUUUACACAUCAAGCUCAAAUCCAUCUAUAUUAACAACUACAAAAUAUACCAAAUUCUGAAUUAAAAUAUUUAAUUCACCAUUACAAUACACAGGGUUGACUUUCAUCAAACUCGUCUCACAGUUGUAAUUCCAGUCUCCACUACAAUAAAUAUUCUAAUUAGCACAGAUUUAAAAAAAUUAAAAAUAAAAAGUCAUAAACACAUCCUUAAUAUUAGAUCUAUAAACUAAUAAACUGUGUUGCAUAAUCCAAAACUGAGUAUAGAUCAACCCUAAACUAUUAAAUUAGAAAUAAUAACAACAACAUAAACGAUAAUUGUAAUCAAAUUCAGGUAACUGAAUGCAAAAUUGAAAUAUAAGAUGUGAAAUUGUGAGGUAAACAAUUUGUUUAAGCAUAAAUUAAAGAAUUGGGAAGAGAUGUUGUGCGUACCGAUGGUAGAGAUGAAAAGUGAAAUUGGGGAAUUGUGUGGGUUAUAUGGUAAUGGCGGAUGAUGCGGAAUUAGUUGAAUCGAGGCCCAAAUCUUUCUCUGUUUUUUUGUGAGGGAGACAAUACAAC